rnacentral:rRNA from 1 species
GGGUCAGUAGGUUGGUCGUGCCACCGGUACGUACUGGUCUCACUGAUUCCUCCCUCCUGAAGAACCGUAAUGCCAUUAAUUUGGUGUUGCGGGGAAACAGGACUGUUACUUUGAAAGAAUUAGAGUGUUUAAAGCAAGCUAACGCUUGAAUACAUUAGCAUGGAAUAAUGAAAUAGGACGAUCGAUCCUAUUUUGUUGGUUUCUAGGAUUGACGUA